AUACGGAGGGUGCAAGCGUUAUUCGGAAUCACUGGGCGUAAAGCGCGCGCAGGCGGCUAUUUAAGUUGGAUGUGAAAGCCUACGGCUCAACCGUAGAACUGCAUCCAAAACUAUUUAGCUAGAGUGUGGGAGAGGAAGAUGGAAUUAGUUGUGUAGGGGUAAAAUCCGUAGAGAUAACUAGGAAUACCAAAAGCGAAGGCAAUCUUCUGGAACACUACUGACGCUGAGGCGCGAAAGCGUGGGGAGCAAACGGGAUUAGAUACCCUAGUAGUCC
rnacentral:rRNA from 1 species